UGCAGCAGCAGCAGCAGCAACAACGGAUUCCUAGAAAAGUAAUUCAUCUCCCUCUUUUAUCUUCUAUAUCAGUCACCGUCUCUCCAGCAGAUCUCAGCUUGUAAGGACGCAGAUCUUGUUUUACAUCUCUCGAAGCUGCGAUUUCUACAAGGACCGAUUUCUUGCUGCUUUGCCAGCACCUCGUUGAGCAAGUGUUGACUUCAGUCGGCCUGUUUUCACAGCCACUGCAUUCUACUUGUGUGCAAAAAGGCACAAGCUUAAAGUAGACAAGAUUAAGCUUAUUGAGCUAUGUGGCACAUCAGAAUCUGAAUUUACUAGUGUUUUCCUGCAUCAAUUUUCUCAUAAGAUGUUGCUUCUUGUGCAACAGAUUCUGUACAUGCAUGUUUCCAUUUUCACCAAGACACUAAGAAUAAAAGACAAACAACAGAUGAUUGUGACUCUGUAACAGCCAAAAAGUUAGAGUGCCACCAAUUUUAUAGUUAGUAGUAGCAAAGGUGGAAAUGGAGGGUAGAGAUGUGGAUAGAAAUUCAAAAUAAACAUGUUACUUACAAGGAGAAAGAAAUCAUACCUUACCAAGUUGGCUAGUUGUGGCCAGUAGUACAUUACAUUUAUGUUUAUUUUGGAUUACAAAGAAAUCAUACCUUUGUACUCUUAUUGAGGUCAA